AAUCCAUAGGUUAAUGAGGCGAACCGGGGGAACUGAAACAUCUAAGUACCCCGAGGAAAAGAAAUCAACCGAGAUUCCCCCAGUAGCGGCGAGCGAACGGGGAGGAGCCCAGAGCCUGAAUCAGCAUGUGUGUUAGUGGAAGCGUCUGGAAAGGCGCGCGAUACAGGGUGACAGCCCCGUACACAAAAGCGCAUGUGCUGUGAGCUCGAUGAGUAGGGCGGGACACGUGGUAUCCUGUCUGAAUAUGGGGGGACCAUCCUCCAAGGCUAAAUACUCCUGACUGACCGAUAGUGAACCAGUACCGUGAGGGAAAGGCGAAAAGAACCCCGGCGAGGGGAGUGAAAAAGAACCUGAAACCGUGUACGUACAAGCAGUGGGAGCACCCUUUGGGGUGUGACUGCGUACCUUUUGUAUAAUGGGUCAGCGACUUAUAUUCUGUAGCAAGGUUAACCGUAUAGGGGAGCCG
rnacentral:rRNA from 1 species